CAUUAGGUGACUGAAUAUAAGUGUAAGUCUUUUAAACUUAUUAUAGCAGCUCAACCUGCUCCUAGUGA
rnacentral:tRNA from 1 species